rnacentral:piRNA from 1 species
UGAGCAGUUCUGUCUAUGCCUACGUAUUA